CUCUCUCCAGCUUGUCCAGAUCGGGAACCAGUCGGGUUCCAUCCUCCAGAGUCUUAAGGAACUCCACCUGGAACUCCACCAUUUCUGGAAGAUUUCCAAAAAGAACAUCCAGCUGGAACAACAAAAGAAAGGCGUCAGUCUGGCCGAAGAUCUCGCAGUCGUCGUCGUCGUCCAAGCUGUCUCCCGAGCUCUCCGGCAGCAGCCCCGCGCUGUCGUCCAGGAUUUCCUCUGAAAGCCGCACGCAAGAGCCGCUGAGCUUUGUUUUCCAUAAGACUCCACAAUAGUUUCCCCGUAAAGCGUCAAAACAAGCGCAACGGAGUAUUGAAAGGCUCAAGUCGAAAAGAAGAAUUACUUCCAAGGGAGACGCAACGGAGGCUGUAAUUUACAUUUCAACAGGCGGCACGGCACAACGCCCAACACAACAUGUCUGGUCAUCUUUUCAGUUCAGCACGCACAGUGCCGACUCUCCGGGCUGGACGAUGGUCAGCACCGGCUGGUCGUUGGGCAAACACACCCAGGAGGGGGUGAGGUGGUCGGGCAGCCAGAUGUCACUCUCCGUGCCGGCCCGCGGGACGCUCUUGCCGGUCGCCUCCUCGUUUGGCUGCAGUGGGAGACACAACGCUGACUUCAUCUAAGCUGGAGGACCUCCUGCCUUGGAAAUUUUGUAUUCGACUAACUGAAUCGGACCAUCCUCGCCGGCCUCCCUCACGCCGGUGUUCUUCUCCUCUGGCCCGGCCGAGGACGACUCACACGCCCGCUCGGGCUCGGCCUCCGCUUCUUAGCAGGACCACCGGGGCGGCGGCGGAUCUCACCGCUGAGCCCACGACGGUAGCGGACCUCCCGGCGGCCGACUUCGCCUUUCCCUCACUCGCCCCUUUAUACCGCACAAAUCGUCAGCUCAAAACCUAGAGUGAGACCUUACGGGUCUCCCCUAUAUUUAGAAUGCAGCGAAGCAGUCAUGAAAGCUUUUGGAGAGUUGCUCACAUGGAUGAAUGUGAAGUGCCCGUAAACCGCGACAUGAACACGAGGUGUCAUUUUGACAGAGGUGAAGUGAAGCCCAAGACAAGUGGAGGAUGUUAUGUGUAGACUCCAGUGUGGUCAGGAUGUACCUGCAUCAAGGCUGCUUUAAAAAAAAAAAAAAAAAAAAAAAGUCCUGGGACCAUCAACAGAUGGGGCAAGAGAUUAACUGACUCUUCCUCCUAAUUUGUGCACCCAUCCUCUUAGG